rnacentral:rRNA from 1 species
AAAUAAUUAAAAGUCGAACAGACUUAUUUAAUAUAAUACUUCAUAUAUUAAUUUUAUUUAAUUCAACAUCGAGGUCAUAAACAAUAUUAAAAAUAAGAACUUCUUAAUAAUAUUAUG